AACGAACGCUGGCGGCAUGCCUAACACAUGCAAGUCGAACGAGACCUUCGGGUCUAGUGGCGCACGGGUGCGUAACGCGUGGGAACCUGCCCUUAGGUUCGGAAUAACUCAGAGAAAUUUGAGCUGAUACCGGAUAAUGUCUUCGGACCAAAGAUUUAUCGCCUUUGGAUGGGCCCGCGUAGGAUUAGCUUGUUGGUGGGGUAAUGGCCUACCAAGGCGACGAUCCUUAGCUGGUCUGAGAGGAUGAUCAGCCACACUGGGACUGAGACACGGCCCAGACUCCUACGGGAGGCAGCAGUGGGGAAUAUUGGACAAUGGGCGAAAGCCUGAUCCAGCAAUGCCGCGUGAGUGAUGAAGGCCUUAGGGUUGUAAAGCUCUUUUACCAGGGAUGAUAAUGACAGUACCUGGAGAAUAAGCUCCGGCUAACUCCGUG
rnacentral:rRNA from 1 species